rnacentral:rRNA from 1 species
UACGGAGGGAGCUAGCGUUGUUCGGAAUUACUGGGCGUAAAGCGCGCGUAGGCGGCUUUGUAAGUUAGAGGUGAAAGCCCGGGGCUCAACCCCGGAACUGCCUUUAAGACUGCAUCGCUUGAAUCCGGGAGAGGUGAGUGGAAUUCCGAGUGUAGAGGUGAAAUUCGUAGAUAUUCGGGAAGAACACCAGUGGCGAAGGCGGCUCACUGGACCGGUAUUGACGCUGAGGUGCGAAAGCGUGGGGAGCAAACAGG